rnacentral:rRNA from 1 species
AGAGUUUGAUCCUGGCUCAGGACGAACGCUGGCGGCGUGCCUAACACAUGCAAGUCGAACGGAACUGUUUUGAAAGAUUUCUUCGGAAUGAAUUUGAUUUAGUUUAGUGGCGGACGGGUGAGUAACGCGUGAGUAACCUGCCUUCAAGAGGGGGAUAACAUUCUGAAAAGAAUGCUAAUACCGCAUGACAUAUCGGAACCACAUGGUUUUGAUAUCAAAGAUUUUAUCGCUUGAAGAUGGACUCGCGUCCGAUUAGUUAGUUGGUGAGGUAACGGCUCACCAAGACCGCGAUCGGUAGCCGGACUGAGAGGUUGAACGGCCACAUUGGGACUGAGACACGGCCCAGACUCCUACGGGAGGCAGCAGUGGGGGAUAUUGCGCAAUGGGGGCAACCCUGACGCAGCAACGCCGCGUGAAGGAUGAAGGUUUUCGGAUUGUAAACUUCUUUUAUUAAGGACGAAAAUUGACGGUACUUAAUGAAUAAGCUCCGGCUAACUACGUGCCAGCAGCCGCGGUAAUACGUAGGGAGCAAGCGUUGUCCGGAUUUACUGGGUGUAAAGGGUGCGUAGGCGGCUUUGCAAGUCAGAUGUGAAAUCUAUGGGCUCAACCCAUAAACUGCAUUUGAAACUGUAGAGCUUGAGUGAAGUAGAGGCAGGCGGAAUUCCCCGUGUAGCGGUGAAAUGCGUAGAGAUGGGGAGGAACACCAGUGGCGAAGGCGGCCUGCUGGGCUUUAACUGACGCUGAGGCACGAAAGCGUGGGUAGCAAACAGGAUUAGAUACCCUGGUAGUCCACGCUGUAAACGAUGAUUACUAGGUGUGGGGGGUCUGACCCCUUCCGUGCCGGAGUUAACACAAUAAGUAAUCCACCUGGGGAGUACGGCCGCAAGGUUGAAACUCAA